CUUGGCCUCCAACUACAUGAGAGGUGUAGAAUAAGUGGGAGGCUUCAGCCGCCGGUGAAAUACCAUUACUCUUAUCGUUUUUUCACUUACCCGGUGAGGCGGGGAGGCGAGCCUUGAGGGGCUCUCGCUUCUGGUCGGAAGCG